rnacentral:rRNA from 1 species
GAUGAACGCUGGCGGCGUGCCUAAUACAUGCAAGUCGAGCGAACGGACGAGAAGCUUGCUUCUCUGAUGUUAGCGGCGGACGGGUGAGUAACACGUGGAUAACCUCCCUAUAAGACUGGGAUCACUUCGGGAAACCGGAGCUAAUACCGGAUAAUAUUUUGAACCGCAUGGUUCAAAAGUGAAAGACGGUCUUGCUGUCACUUAUAGAUGGAUCCGCGCUGCAUUAGCUAGUUGGUAAGGUAACGGCUUACCAAGGCAACGAUGCAUAGCCGACCUGAGAGGGUGAUCGGCCACACUGGAACUGAGACACGGUCCAGACGCCUACGGGAGGCAGCAGUAGGGAAUCUUCCGCAAUGGGCGAAAGCCUGACGGAGCAACGCCGCGUGAGUGAUGAAGGUCUUCGGAUCGUAAAACUCUGUUAUUAGGGAAGAACAUAUGUGUAAGUAACUGUGCACAUCUUGACGGUACCUAAUCAGGAAGCCACGGCUAACUACGUG